GUGCAGCAGGCGAGAAUUUUUCUCAAUGGGGGAAACCCUGAAGGAGCGACGCCGCGUGGAGGAUGAAGGUCUUCGGGUUGUAAACUCCUGUCAUUUGGGAACAAGUCGCUUACGUUAACUGCGUGAGCGUUGAUAGUACCAGAAGAGGAAGAGACGGCUAACUCUGUGCCAGCAGCCGCGGUAAUACAGAGGUCUCAAGCGUUGUUCGGAUUCAUUGGGCGUAAAGGGUGUGUAGGUGGCGCCGUAAGUCGGGUGUGAAAUCUCGGGGCUUAACUCCGAAACUGCAUUCGAUACUGCGGUGCUUGAGGACUGGAGAGGAGACUGGAAUUCAUGGUGUAGCAGUGAAAUGCGUAGAGAUCAUGAGGAAGACCAGUGGCGAAGGCGGGUCUCUGGACAGUUCCUGACACCGAGACACGAAGGCCAGGGGAGCAAACGGGAUUAGAUACCCCUGUA
rnacentral:rRNA from 1 species